rnacentral:sRNA from 1 species
AGUGGUCCUGAUCAAAGUGAGAACAGACAGCAGGGAACAUCACCCUCUUCAGAUUGGAGUCAGUGGGAACAAACCCAAGAUGUUGGGGAGGAACACUUGGAAGACCUCAGCUUUCUCCUUGGUUGAGCAGAUGUGGGUCCCUCUCUGGAGUCGUUCGAUGAGGCCAGGGCGAUGGUGUUCUCAGCAUUCCUGUGCACGGCGAACCAGCAAUAACACUUUGCACCCACUCUGGACGGGCCCGGUCUCCGUGCCAGGGGGCACCCGGCAGUCUCCUAUCAACAUCCAGUGGAGAGACAGCGUCUACGACCCCCGGCUGAAGCCACUCAGGGUCUCCUAUGACGCGGCAUCCUGCCUGUACGUCUGGAACACUGGCUACCUCUUCCAGGUGGAAUUCGACGAUGCCACCGAGGUAUCAGGACUGGCUGCCAGGUCCUACCUGGUGUUUUCCCAGCACCACCUGGUGUCACUGUAAGCCGCCUUCAUGAGGAAUGCCUGCUCUCCCU